rnacentral:rRNA from 1 species
UACGUAGGGGGCAAGCGUUGUCCGGAAUCAUUGGGCGUAAAGAGCGUGUAGGCGGCCCGAUAAGUCCGCUGUGAAAGUCCAGGGCUCAACCCUGGAAUGCCGGUGGAUACUGUCGGGCUCGAAUCCGGAAGAGGUGGGUGGAAUUCCUGGUGUAGCGGUGAAAUGCGCAGAUAUCAGGAGGAACACCAAUGGCGAAGGCAGCUCACUGGGACGGUAUUGACGCUGAGACGCGAAAGCGUGGGGAGCAAACGGG